rnacentral:rRNA from 1 species
UACGUAGGGUGCAGGCGUUAAUCGGAAUUACUGGGCGUAAAGGGCGCGUAGGCGGCCUGUUAAGUCGAACGUGAAAUCCCCGGGCUCAACCCGGGAACUGCGUCCGAUACUGGCAGGCUUGAAUCCGGGAGAGGGAUGUGGAAUUCCAGGUGUAGCGGUGAAAUGCGUAGAUAUCUGGAGGAACACCGGUGGCGAAGGCGGCAUCCUGGACCGGUAUUGACGCUGAGGCGCGAAAGCCAGGGGAGCAAAGCGGG